rnacentral:rRNA from 1 species
UGGGGAAUAUUGGACAAUGGGGGGAACCCUGAUCCAGCCAUGCCGCGUGUGUGAAGAAGGCCUUAUGGUUGUAAAGCACUUUAAGCGAGGAGGAGGGUACUGGUAUUAAUACUACCAGGUACUGGACGUUACUCGCAGAAUAAGCACCGGCUAACUCUGUGCCAGCAGCCGCGGUAAUACAGAGGGUGCGAGCGUUAAUCGGAUUUACUGGGCGUAAAGCGUGCGUAGGCGGCUAAUUGAGUCGGAUGUGAAAUCCCCGAGCUUAACUUGGGAAUUGCAUUCGAUACUGGGAAGCUAGAGUAUGGGAGAGGAUGGUAGAAUUCCAGGUGUAGCGGUGAAAUGCGUAGAGAUCUGGAGGAAUACCGAUGGCGAAGGCAGCCAUCUGGCCUAAUACUGACGCUGAGGUACGAAAGCAUGGGGAGCAAACAGG